rnacentral:snRNA from 1 species
AUCGCUUCUUGGCCUUUUGGCUAAGAUCAAGUGUAAUGUGGAGUAAGACAGUCUGAUUUUAUUUUUGGAGUUCUAACACUUAGAGCCUUUUUAUAUAGCUUGCUAAACUUUUAAAAGCAACAUUAAACUUAUAUAAGAAAUGUUUUAAUUUCA